rnacentral:rRNA from 1 species
UACGAAGGGGGCGAGCGUUGUUCGGAUUUACUGGGCGUAAAGGGCGCGCAGGCGGCUAUCCAAGUCAGGCGUGAAAGCCCCGGGCUUAACCUGGGAGGUGCGUCUGGGACUGGGUGGCUAGAGUUCGGGAGAGGAGAGUGGAAUUCCCAGUGUAGAGGUGAAAUUCGUAGAUAUUGGGAAGAACACCGGUGGCGAAGGCGGCUCUCUGGACCGAGACUGACGCUGAGGCGCGAAAGCGUGGGGAGCAAACAGG